UUGUUGUAUAAAUAAUGUUCACAUAGCGCAGCUUAUCGAACAGAUCAAAUUCGGAAACAAUUUUUUUUUUUAGGCAACUUCCCAACCAUUAUUGUAUUCAAUGGAUAUAUCUGUCUAUAUUAGCUUCCUUAUUAAAAGCGUGGUUUUUAAACAUCACACCUUACAAGUCAAUUAAUGCGCUAUGUAGAUCUACUUUACGCCAAAAAAAAUUUUUCCCACUUGCAUCUUGACCCUAAAUAAUAUAUUUUCUGUCCGUCUAUAGGACUUGUUCAUGAAAAAGUAUUCAAACACUCAAGCAUCCAUUUACUAACAAUGCUAAUGUCGCUAUCACACUUUGGCUUAUUUAUACUCUUUUGUAUGUAUAACCAACUUUCAUGUUUCAAGUCCAUAUACUAAUUUAUAUCACUUGGUUGCGCAUAACAUUUCAUUCCCUCUCAGUCAAGCUCCCGAUUCAAGGGUUUUCGAUAUGAGAAAGAAUUAAGAUUCGUCUAAAUAUCGCGUUGAAGAAGAGGUUUGUUUGACUUAGUAGUUAGAUUUGGAGAAGAUUUGCGUGGAAAAUUACGUCUGCUACAUAUUUGAUAUGUCAUCUGCACAGUUUGAUAUCCGUUUCAACGAUACGUAGAACUGCGGUGAGUUUUCCUUGUGAUCUAUUAUAUUGCAAUACGCAGGUAACAUACGUAGCAACUAGUAUAGGUAUUGUAUUAACUAGGUUAUAUUGUUACCUAUCACUAAUAUAGCUUAUAACUGAACUGAGGAACGAGUUUCAUUUUGUUCUCUAAUUUAUAGCAUUUGAAAAAGCAACACUUGUAACUGAUAGUUAGUUACCUUACUACAAAUGAUAUUAUAUCCG